rnacentral:rRNA from 1 species
UACGUAGGGGGCACGCGUUGUCCGGAAUCAUUGGGCGUAAAGCGCGUGUAGGCGGCUCGAUAAGUCUGCUGUGAAAGUUCAGGGCUCAACCCUGAAAUGCCGGUGGAAACUGUCGAGCUAGAGUCCGGAAGAGGCGAGUGGAAUUCCUGGUGUAGCGGUGAAAUGCGCAGAUAUCAGGAGGAACACCAAUGGCGAAGGCAGCUCGCUGGGACGGUACUGACGCUGAGACGCGAAAGCGUGGGGAGCAAACAGG